CACAGGUGGUGCAUGGCUGUCGUCAGCUCGUGUCGUGAGAUGUUGGGUUAAGUCCCGCAACGAGCGCAACCCUUAUUGUUAGUUGCCAGCACGUAAUGGUGGGGACUUUAGCAAGACUGCCAGUGAUAAAUUGGAGGAAGGUGGGGACGACGUCAAAUCAUCAUGCCCCUUAUGACCUGGGCUACAAACGUGAUACAAUGGCUGUUACAAAGGGUAGCUGAAACGCAAGUUUUUGGCGAAUCUCAAAAAAACAGUCUCAGUUCGGAUUGAAGUCUGCAACUCGACUUCAUGAAGUUGGAAUCGCUAGUAAUCGCGAAUCAGCAUGUCGCGGUGAAUACGUUCUCGGGGUUUGUACACACCGCCCGUCAAACCACGAAAGUUGGCAAUACCCAAAACCGGUGGCCUAACUUCGCAAGAAGAGGGAACCGUCUAAGGUAGGGUCGAUGAUUGGGGUUAAGUCGUAACAAGGUAUCCCUACCGGAAGGUGGGGAUGGAUCACCUCCUUUCUAAGGAA
rnacentral:rRNA from 1 species